rnacentral:rRNA from 1 species
GUCUAUGGCCAUGCCACCAUGAACGUUCCUGAUCUUGUCUGAUCUCGGAAGCUAAGCAGAGUUGGGCCUGGUUAGUACUUGGAUGGGAGACCACCUUGGAAUAACAGGUGCUGUAACCA